rnacentral:misc_RNA from 1 species
ACGUCGAUACGUCGAACUAACCCUGUCCGAUCCGAAGCGCACACGGCAGUGACGGUAUUGCAGUGUGUGCACGCUAGCGUUAUUUUGACCCGUCCACUGGCUGACCGCGGACGGUUGAUAGUGGUACGCCGUUACGUCGUAGUAGGUGAUAGUAGUAACGUCAUGAUGAACACGAAUCUGACGCCUAAGAAAUCCUUCAAGGAGAGACGUACGUUCGAGCAACGUGCGGCUGAUGCGGACGAAAUUAGACAAAGAAAUCCAAAUAGGAUUCCCAUCAUCGUGGAACGUUAUAAGCUGGAAAACCAGCUGCCGCUGCUGGACAAGAAUAAAUUUUUGGUACCAGAUUUCCUAACUGUCGCAGAAUUGUGUAAAAUAGUCAGACGUCGACUGCAGCUGAAUCCAACGCAGGCAAUUUUCUUGCUGGUGAACCAGAAAAGUAUUGUGAGCGGUAGCCUGACGAUGGCCGAGCUCUAUCAGAAUGAGAGGGAUGCGGACGGUUUCCUUUACGUUGUGUUUGCCAGUCAGGAUGUAUUCGGUGGUCAUUAGUUGCAGCACAAUAACACUAACCAACCAAGUAAAAACGAAAUACCUCCUUGGCACUUAACAAUACUUUGAUAGAUAUUUACGUGGAAUUUUGUGGGGAUUCUAGAUCUGCUAGCAACUCUAUCUGCCUUCAAUUAAAUGUGCAGAGUCUUUGUGAUCAACUGACGGUACCUGCUGGAAUAGUUAACGGAACAAUCACAUUUGGAGUCUAUGUAUAAAAUCAUCGCGGUGCUUUCUGUCUUUGACAUAUGGAUGAAUUAUGUCUGAUAUAAGUUAAUGUAACAUCCACUUACUAGUAAUAGUGAUAGUUUAUUGUUAAUUUUAAUGGUGGUAGGAUACGUACGUGGUAAUAAGGUGCGGACACGAUAUGUUACACACAAAUCCUUUCUUUUAAUAAGUAAGAUGGCGAUUGCGGACGGUGUUUCCUGUUUUUCUCUGAUCAUCACACGUUUACCUUCGUGAAAGAACUCGUCAUUAUAAGCCUUGACUAUCGUUCGCGUUCAAGUAGAUUAAUCAUUCCGUCGAUGUUUUCAAUUGAUGUGUCAUACUUUUAUACGUUGUUCGACCAUCGUUAGCUCCCUCGAGAGACUACAUUACUAAUAUAAAGUAUCUCUUUUUAUACGGUAAUAAUAUCCUCGUUAAGUAUUAUUUUUACCACACAAUGCUAAGCCAUUGACAAAAGUGUUCAUGUACAUAACGAUAUGCAGCGUGCAGUGUACGAUGAUGCGCGUUAAAUUCUCGCGAAAUUACGUUAAGUUUUACACAGGAUAUAAAAUCGAUCUCUGUCAAGCCUGUGACACGCAAGAUUAUUAAUUAAGUACUAAUUUUAACUGAUAAAUUGUUGUUCGGAGCAAUGUUUUAAAGUAAUUCGACACGAAGUAUUCAGUUCUCUAGAGAACUCGUGCAAUAAGCUAACGAACACGUAGACAUGUAUUAUUACGGGACGAGCAAGGAAAUCAGAACAACUGCGAAAAUUUCAGAAACCUUUUAAAUAUUCUAAAACUAGAGAAUCACAUGUUUGUACAUUGAUACAUAGGGGUUUUAAGCUUUAAAUUCAUCUGAUACCAAUUCAUAUAUACAAAUAUUGUCCUACCUGUUCGAUGUAAUGAUCACGUUUGUGUAAAUAUUCACUAAUCUAUUUUAAUCUUACAGUGGGCUGUAUCAGAUGCAGUUUUAAGCAUAGAACAUAUUUCUAAUAGUCAAAUUUUGUAGUAAUACUGUAAUAAUAUGUUAUUGCAGCUUUUAUGCAGCUUGAUUUUGUACAUGAUGAGCAUGAAUCAAUCUUUACGUAUAAUCGACGCAACGCAGCCAUUUGUACAACGGAAAACGGAACAUUUGUUUGACGAGACUUCGAAUACAUAAUAAAAUUAAAUCGUUUCAGUUGCACUUUCUUAAGCUUCUUACGCUUAAGAUGAAAUAGGUGUAUAUCCGAGCUUUGGAGAGAGAAAAGAGACAAGGAAUAAGACGUAGAAAGUGCAAUUAAAACGAACAGAUUUACAGUUAAUAAAGACGGUAGUGAUACUAGCAGUAGUAGUCACGGUAAUGUUUAGUGACAAAGCUUUCGUAAUAAGCAUAUAGAAAGCUGUAUUUAUCCCGAUGCGAUGUAUUUGCAAUAAAGAAAAUUUUUUCAUA